UUAUCAAAAGUGCGGGAAUAUAACAAACACUUCCUGUAGAGGGACGGGCAGGCAGCAGAUCAGAAACUUACAGAGAAAGAGAAACUUAAGAAAACUAGGGCAACAGCUGUUCACAGAUCAGCUGAGGGCGGGAACAGUGUGCUAGUAUAAAUAACAGGAAGACGCAUUGAUUUGUCCUUUCUACCAUCAGAGCCUCCUUCUUAGUGCUUACAGAUCAGCAGGGUCUAUGGUGAUUCCUCUGUGGGAGACGCCAUGGAACCCUGAGUGAUUUCGUAGCACUAAUGUCAUCAUGAAGGAAGCGGAGUUCAUGUAAAUCCUUGCUGCCAGGGGCGGGAUCAUCUGGCCCAGCACAAUUCAGAGGGGAAACUCAGUCUCCACCUCUGUUUUGCGUUGGUGUCCGGAUGCGCAGAGGCCAGUGCCGUAUGCCUAAAAGCUGCGAAGCCUGACAUCUUGCGUAAAGCCUCAAGUCUACAAAGUCUACAAAGUGAAGAACCAACCAGAAAAAAAUCGUACCAAUGCAUGUAAAGCUAAAAGUGAACCAAGAAACCUCUUUAACACGUACCUGACUCAUAAAAAAAUGCUACAAAUAUAAAGUGAAGUGAAGAAGUAUUUUUUUGGUGAAACCUUUGGUUUCUGCAUUGCUUGGUUCGGUUGGUCCGGGGCCCAGCUGAUAAAACAAAUAGCCCCGGAACAAAAUGUAAAAACAAAAAAACUAAAUAAAAAUAGCAAAAUCCGCAACAAAAA